rnacentral:ncRNA from 2 species
CGGUGCGCUGUUGCUGAAGGUGCCCCAUGCCGUUCACCGGCCAGGGGUUCAACGGGAAGCAGGUGCGCGAUGCCAUCGAGGUGGCCGCUCGCAAUGCCUGCGCUGCCCCCGCAACGGUCAGCGGAAUACAACUCCCCACGCGGACGCGCCCCAAACCACGCGCCGCAAGCCACUGUGUCCUUCUCGGGCAUGGGAAGGCGGGGAUGCCUGCCGCAGCGCGCCCACCCUGCGCGCCGCAGCGUUCCGCAAGCCCGGAUACCGGCCUUCUGCAUUGCUUUCGG